AAGGGAGACCUAAUUCCGGUAGGAGACGAAAAAAAAGUAGUCCCAACCAAGAAUCAAUCCCAAAAGGUCGGAACGAGGUAUGAGGCUUUCAAACUAGGUUCUGGGUUCAUAAAAGACCUGAAUCAGGAGCAAGGGCUAUUAGCUCAGGUGGUUAGAGCGCACCCCUGAUAAGGGUGAGGUCCCUGGUUCGAGUCCAGGAUGGCCCACCUGCACAGGUGGCAAAAACAAGAGAAGCUCCGAGUCAGCACCUUAUCUUAUAUACAUAUAUAAGAGAGAAUGCUGGCUCUGAGUACAGAGUCCAGAGGAACCUUGAAAACUGCAUAGAGCUAGGUGAAAAAGCCAAAAAAGAAGACCGCAA
rnacentral:tRNA from 1 species